rnacentral:lncRNA from 1 species
AAAUGAGAUCCUUUCCUACACCACAUACCUGGAGGAUCUCGAGUGAUUCCGGGGUAGCCACACCACUCAAGAGGCCCACCCAGAGCAUGAAAAACCCAGAAACUACAUCUCUGAAGACCUACUGCUUACCGGGAGAAGCAGGGCCUCACAAGGAUCCCAGGAUGGAAUGAAAAUAGGCCAGAUGUCACGAGGGUCUCCUGUGGAUAACUACAGGUGCUCUGACUCAAGGCAGAGAUGGCCAUGUCCACCGUGGAGAAGAAG